ACUGGGAGUGGGGCUUUCCUGGGUGUGGAAGUUUAGGAAGAGGUCCCUCUGCAGGGCGGGAAGGCGAUCAGACCGCGGGCCUGUGGUUUGCUUCCUUGGAGAACAGAACUGUAUUGUCCCGGAGCUUUGGGCAAACUCACCAAGAGUCGCCUCUUUCCCAGCCUCUGCAACCCUUCUGGCAACAAUCUGGUCAUUCUUGUGCCCCGGAUAUGGAUUAAUUGUUUGCUACUCUGAGCUAGCUGUGUGCUGUCCCCAAGGGGGUUGAUUGUGGCCAUUCCCCACUGCCAGCCCAAAUGACAUUUGCUCAGGACAUUUCCAGUAUGUCUUCCUAAUGAAAAUCCGAUGCAAGCAAGUGGUGAUCCAGAAGCCUGAUGGAUCAAGUCACUAUCAGAAUAAAAGCCAAAUUGUGGCAGCAACCUA